rnacentral:lncRNA from 1 species
CGCUCACAUCAAAUCAUAGUGGUUGUAGCCUAAAGGUUAGUAGUAAUAGAUUUGGUUAGUCAGAUGCACGCUUUCUCCUAGUGGUAAAAAUAUGAAUAUGAUACUCUGGAUAACUUCCCGGGUGAAGUGCUCACCGAUAUCCGUGCGCUUGCGGAUCAUUUCCUGAUUGCAUUACCAAAUAUCAACAGCAGGGUCCCCAAUUGUAUAAGGUGCCGCACUACCCUCUCCAUGCUUUGUCCAAAUCAAGUAAUCCUUCAUAAAUCCUCGGC